UUCAAAAAAAAAAAAAAAUUAUGUGAUGAUGGGCUGUUACCAUUACAUUAAGACCUUUACAAGCCUAUUUCUAUUAUAUGCGACCGCCAAAAAGGCUGCUAUUUAAAUCCAUGCAUUCAAUGUUGAAUGGAUGCUUUUUAAGCUGCAAAUGACUAAUGUUAGACGUGCAAACAUUGAUGUCCUGCAUAUUGUGAUAAGAUGCUCUUACAAGUUCUAUUGAUCUCAAUUCAAUAAAAUCUACCAUUAAAAAAAAAAAAAAGAA
rnacentral:misc_RNA from 1 species